rnacentral:rRNA from 1 species
UAUCAAAAACAUCUCUCUUUGUUAAUAAUAAAUAAGGAGUUGGGCCUGCUCGGUGAAUAUUUUUUAACAGCUGCGGUAUUUUAACUGUACUAAGGUAGCAUAAUAAUUUGCCUUAUAAUUUGAGGCUAGAAUGAAUGGUUUGACGAAGGUUAAUCUGUCUCCGUUUUAUUUUUUAGAAAUUAAUUUUCAUAGUGAAAAAGCUUGAAUUUUUUAAAGGGACGAGAAGACCCUAUUGAGCUUAUAAUUUUAUUACUAUUGUGUUUUGUUGAAUUAUCAUCAUAGUAUAUAAAUUUUAAUUGGGGUGAUUAAGGAAUAAAUUUUUAUGGUAUAACUUCCUUAGAUUAAUAUAUUGUUAGAUUGAGUAACCGAUAUAGUUAACAUAGUGUGUUAAAGUAUUGCUUAUAAUAUAGUUACCAUAGGGAUAACAGCGUAAUUUACUUAGAGAGUUCUUAUUGAAAAGUAAGAUUGCGACCUCGAUGUUGGAUUAAAGUAACCUUAAGGUGCAGAAGCUUUAUAAGGUAAAUCUGUUCGAUUUUUAAAACUUUACGUGAUCUGA